UAGAACGCUAGCGGCAGGCUUAACACAUGCAAGUCGAGGGGCAGCACGGGUAGCAAUACCUGGUGGCGACCGGCGCAAGGGUGCGUAACGCGUGAGCAACAUGCCCUAUACAGGGGGAUAAUCCAGGGAAACUUUGGUCUAAUAUCCCAUAGCAUUUAGAGGAGGCAUCUUCACUAAAUUAAAGCUUCGGUGGUAUAGGAUUGGCUCGCGUGACAUUAGCUAGAUGGUGAGGUAACGGCCCACCAUGGCUAUGAUGUCUAGGGGUUCUGAGAGGAAGACCCCCCACACUGGGACUGAGACACGGCCCAGACUCCUACGGGAGGCAGCAGUGAGGAAUAUUGGACAAUGGAUGGAAAUCUGAUCCAGCCAUGCCGCGUGCAGGAAGACGGCCCUAUGGGUUGUAAACUGCUUUUAUAUGGGAGCAAUAAGGUUUACGAGUAGACCGAUGAGAGUACCAUAUGAAUAAGCAUCGGCUAACUCCGUG
rnacentral:rRNA from 1 species